UGGGGAAUAUUGGGCAAUGGGCGAAAGCCUGACGCAGCGACGCCGCGUGAGGGAUGAAGGUUUUCGGAUCGUAAACCUCUGUCAGAAGGGAAGAAGGUGCGUGGUGCUAAUCAGCCGCGUAUUGACGGUACCUUCAAAGGAAGCACCGGCUAACUCCGUGCCAGCAGCCGCGGUAAUACGGAGGGUGCGAGCGUUAAUCGGAAUUACUGGGCGUAAAGCGCACGUAGGCUGUUGUGUAAGUCAGGGGUGAAAUCCCACGGCUCAACCGUGGAACUGCCCUUGAUACUGCAUGACUGGAAUCCGGGAGAGGGUGGCGGAAUUCCAGGUGUAGGAGUGAAAUCCGUAGAUAUCUGGAGGAACAUCAAUGGUCGGAGGACGGCGCACCUGGACCGGUAUUGACGCUGAGGUGCGAAAGCGUGGGGGAGCAAACAGGAUUAGAUACC
rnacentral:rRNA from 1 species